GGGCGAAAGCCUGAUCCAGCAAUGCCGCGUGUGGGAAGAAGGCCUUCGGGUUGUAAACCACUUUUGUACGGAACGAAAAGGNCUGCCCUAAUACGGUGGGCCCAUGACGGUACCGUAAGAAUAAGCACCGGCUAACUACGUGCCAGCAGCCGCGGUAAUACGUAGGGUGCGAGCGUUAAUCGGAAUUACUGGGCGUAAAGCGUGCGCAGGCGGUUAUAUAAGACAGUUGUGAAAUCCCCGGGCUCAACCUGGGAAUUGCAUCUGUGACUGUAUAGCUAGAGUACGGUAGAGGGGGAUGGAAUUCCGCGUGUAGCAGUGAAAUGCGUAGAUAUGCGGAGGAACACCGAUGGCGAAGGCAAUCCCCUGGACCUGUACUGACGCUCAUGCACGAAAGCGUGGGGAGCAAACAGGAUUAGAUACCCUGGUAGUCCACGCCCUAAACGAUGUCAACUGGUUGUUGGGUGCAUUAGUACUCAGUAACG
rnacentral:rRNA from 1 species